rnacentral:rRNA from 1 species
AACGAACGCUGGCGGCAUGCCUAACACAUGCAAGUCGAACGAAGCCUUCGGGCUUAGUGGCGCACGGGUGCGUAACGCGUGGGAACCUACCAUCAGGUUCGGAAUAACAGUUAGAAAUGACUGCUAAUACCGGAUAAUGUCUUCGGACCAAAGAUUUAUCGCCUUUUGAUGGGCCCGCGUUGGAUUAGCUAGUUGGUGGGGUAAAGGCCUACCAAGGCGACGAUCCAUAGCUGGUCUGAGAGGAUGAUCAGCCACACUGGGACUGAGACACGGCCCAGACUCCUACGGGAGGCAGCAGUGGGGAAUAUUGGACAAUGGGCGAAAGCCUGAUCCAGCAAUGCCGCGUGAGUGAUGAAGGCCUUAGGGUUGUAAAGCGCUUUCACCUGUGAUGAUGAUGACAGUAGCAGGAGAAGAAGCCCCGGCUAACUCCGUG